rnacentral:lncRNA from 1 species
GGCAUCUUGAUCAUUAAUUUACGAUCUUUAUUCUCUUCUGAAAUGAUGACACGGAUACUUAAGAUUCCUCUUCCACAGGGGUCAUGGUCUGAUCAGAAGGUUUGGGGACCUACUAAGCUCACUACAAUUUCUCUAAAAGAUAUAUCCAAGUUAUUCACUUCCAAUCACCAAAAUGAUAAUCAGUUCCGGUGUAAUUGGGUUUGGAAGCUACCGAGAACUCCAAGGGUGAAAACUUUCUGGUGGCGUC